CAGUAGCCACGGUAAUACCAGCAGCCCAAGUGGUGGUCGCGUUUAUUGGGCCUAAAGCGCUCGUAGCCUGACCGGUAAGUUCCCCGUGAAAUCGGGUCGCCCAACGAUUCGGCUUGCGGGGAAUACUGUCGGUCUUGGGGCCGGGAGACGCCGAGGGUACUCCGGGGGUAGCGGUGAAAUGCUGUAAUCCUCGGGGGACUACCAGUGGCGAAGGCGCUCGGCGAUAACGGGCCUGACGGUGAGGGGCGAAAGCUGGGGGCGCGAACGGGAUUAGAUACCCCUGUAGUCCCUGUCUCUUAUU
rnacentral:rRNA from 1 species